AAGACGAAGUAACGACCCGUCGACGAAGAAUGAUGAAUAUUUUAAUAUUUGCUUAUUUGUUUUAAUAGAUGGUGUCGUCCCGAAUGUGAUAUGGGCCUGCUCGACACUUAAAGCAUUGGCACCUGGUAAGACCACCCACGUUAAAAACAGGGAAAUGAUGACAAUAUAUAUGUCAACAAUAAACAGAUAGCCAAAUGCCUCAUCUAAUUAGUGACGCUCAUGAACGGAUCAAUGAGAUUCCCACUGUCCCUGUCUACUGUCUAGCGAAACCACAGCCAAGGGA
rnacentral:ncRNA from 1 species